UUUCGGCUCUUUCUAUCAGAAAUUACCUCAGUCAUCUAACAUGGCGAUUUGCGAAGGGAACUCGCUUGCAGAAGUCAUCCUUUCGAUAAUUUUUGAACGAGUAAUACGUAAAUAUACAAGACUAAACGAAGAUGAAAGCAGUUCCAAGAGCCCAGAAGUAUUGCAGAGGAGCCUAGUUGACCGCUAUCUGAAUUAUAAUUACGUUCAAAGAAGAUACAUGGAUUUCUACGUUCAACGUGAUAAUUAAACAUUCGACAUCCGAAAUGAAACACAUCAAACGAUAUGUCCUAUGUGGAUAAGACAAAUAUCCGACCGUCAACCAGAUUAGGAAAUGAAAACGUUUUUCUCUUCUCUUUUUUAAAUGAGAUUUUAUCAUGGCGACCAGAGUAUUUUCAUCGAUGAGUGAGGUAUUAUGUCUCUUACCUUAAGCUAUUUUAAUGGUAUUAUGUUAAUAUAAAUCAAGAAUCCUUAUAAUUUUCAACUGCUGUAAUAAAGAAUAUUCGAUAUAGGAAACAAGAUGCUUGGUGAAGGAGAGGAGAUGGUAAAAACGGCGGAGGUAGCUGAUGCUGCUUACGAAUUUAUUACAAAUCUUGCCAAUAAUCUGAAACUCAAGUUGGUGAGAGAGGCACCUUACUAUCUGGUGUAUGAAAACAACAUGUUUCUAUUGCUGGAACAUUACUAUAGUAACCAUCUACUACAAUAUUGAAUUUUAAUAAAGGAGCACAUUGGAUGGUGAAUACAGAAGAGUGGUUUACAAAGCAGUUGGAAAUUUUAAGCAAGGCAGAAACAUCGUUAGCUAUUGUUCAUGUAUGCAUUAUGUGAUUGGGAAUACAUAGGAAAAAGAAAAGGAAGAAAAAACAUUUGUCCUUGACGACGAAAUUUGGAAAAGUCAAUAUGGUGCUAUCUUAUAAAGCGUGGGACGGUGAUACGAGGAGGUGGGAGGGAUUUACUUCAUUCAAAGGUUCCAACCGCGAGCGGCUUUAGCUGGAGUGUCUAUGCGAUUCUACUGAGAAUGAUUUGUCGAAGGGCCGUUCGACGUUGCAUGCAUUAGAAGAGUCAAAUGGUAAUUUGAUAAAGUAAACAACCGAUCCUAAAACUGGAGUAAGAGAUUUUUAAAGCUGACACCAGUCCGUAAUGAAGCUUCGAGUAGAUAAGUAGAUCCCUGGACUAAUCAGUCCGAAAAUCAGAAAAAUAAUAUUCUUUGGGACAAUGACAAAGUGUACAAACACGACUACAUUACAUGAUAUAAGAUAUAAAUAGUGAAGAGCAAUUUCAAAAAGACAUGUAUAAAUCCAGAAAAGAACGGUAACAGUGAUAGUGAUACCACCGAAUAUGAAAACAGGAAAAAUUUCAUAGAUGAUGAUAAGGAUGAAAAUCCUGCAAAGCUUAUCACAGAUAUCGUAGAAAAUUAUAAGGGAUAAUAUUUUGUAAUGAAAUAUGUUCUUCAAUAUCUACAAAUUCAUAUAAAUUAAAUAUCAUUACAAUAUAUUAGUUAGUUCCACGGUCACGAUAUAUUAUAUUACGUAAGUCGAUGGACCACGAUUGCGCAAAAAAUUACCAUCUAUUUGCUGACAGUUAACAUCCGAGAGAGUGCCGAACAAACAGAGUUUUUACAUUCUAUGCAUCUUUAUUGCUUUCACAGACGAAAAGGUAGAAGAUGAAAUUAAUUAAGACUUCUCUAACGAUCUCUUUUAAUUUGACAUAUUAUGAUUUCUAUUUUACUACCAUAUCCAUAUUCCAUAACAGAAUAUUGUUACAAAUGCUUCUGCUUUAUUUUUAUUGAUCUCACCCUACCAAAUAUUCACAUUCCAUGAAACGAAAUUAAUUCUCUUAUUAAUAUUCUCUCAUAACAAAAAUAUCUUGCGGGCGUUAAUAUACAUAUUUUUAAUUCCUAUGUGACAAAAUCAGCCAAAGAUGUUGUUCAUGUAAACAAUAUCUUUUUUGGUCAUAAUAAAAAUAAUAUGGUGUGCGAAGUGACCAGAACGAGGAGUAUCUGCUUUUUUAUUAUGAUCCUAAUAGAUAGUACCUUACAGGAACAAAUACAUUUAUAAGAGAAUAUUUUCAAAGAAUCCUACGUCAAAAACAUAUUCAUCAUCUAUUAUGGAAUGUCAAGAAAUUGACUUUCAAAGUUGUUCACAGUGUUAUCAUCUAAAAAGGUUGUUAUUUAAUAUUUUUAGUUCCUUGUUACAGUUUUUAGGCAAUGACAUCCCGCUUUAUAUUAUAGCUCGAAUUUAAAAAAAGGAAGAAAAGAAAAAUACAUAUCCAUAUAUCUUAUGUGCGGACACUGAAUUAUAUAAUAACGAUCGGCGGCAUUUUACUAUCAACGAUUAUCGACGGUUUCCUAAACAUAUUUGCUAUUUCUUAGCUGUAGUAAUAAUCAACGUGCUGGGUUCGAAAGGAAGGCAUUUCCUUUACAAACGUGAUCCGCAUAAUUAUGUUCCAUAGCGUCUUCAUUACGUGGUUGCAAUUAACAAGGAAGAAGAGGAAGAAGAGGAAGAAGAGGACAAACAUUUAUAAUGGUGUUGACGACGAUCCUCAAAGUAUUGCCUCAAGGUAAUCGUCAAUUAAAAUAGCGCUGUAUUACAAAGCUUCAUUCAUAUGGUGAUACGAGGAUAUGGAAUAUACGUUAUUGUAAGGAUUCAAAGGGUUGUUUGCCGUUGCAAAGGGAAUCUGGAUUCAAAUGGAACUGAAAUGGUACUCAGGCAGCUUUAUCAUUGAAAAUGAUCAAGGCUUCAUAUACGAUCAAAGUAUUCAUUGUUCUUCGGGAUAAUAACGUUAGCUCGGACACGCUUUUAAAUUAUGCGUUAAUAUGUAGUGUAUGUUUAUUUCACCGUGUCAUCGUUAUACCGUCAGUUUAUAUUAUUAUUCAAUAUAAUUAAAAAGAGAAGAAGUGUUUGGUUCAAUGUUCCAAAUUAUUUGUCAGAGUAUUCACGUCAUGUACUUAAAAAUAAUGUAUAAUGUACGUUUUUCAGAAAUAUAGGUAUUUGGACGAACUAAAUUAUUACGUAGCGCAAAUAUCUUACGAUUGAGAUUUAAUGAAAAUGCAUGUAUACGUUACGUUCUUCCAUACGUAUCGUCGUGUACGUUCGUGUUAAACAAUUUGUUAUUAUCUUUCUCCACACACUUACGCUCUUACAUUCUCUCAUCCGCGCUAGAGCAUGUAAGCGGGAAUAUGUCCGCGGUUCUGUGGGUGUGCGUGCGUAUAUCUCCUCGCUUAUUUUGACGAAACGUAUUUUUUCAAAAGAGGAAAGGUAUUUUGUCGUUCGUUCUCCUUUCAUUAAACUAAGCAGGCAAUGCGAUAAUACGAUUGGCAGUGUACUUCAAUUAGCUAUUUAGCUGCAUUAAUUAAUUAGCAGAUCGAUGUACCACAACUAAUUUAGUUCUUUCAUACGAACGAAUACUUUUCCCGAAAAAUUAAUUCAAUUACUUUAUUAUUAUUAUUUAACUGCAUCAUUUAACUAGCCAGUUAAGUCUUUUGAAAAGCAAUGCACCACGUAUCUGAUUCAAUUCUUUCAUACGAGCGAGUAGAUUUUCCUAAAAAUUUAUUUCCGAGCGAAGAACGAAAGAAUGAACUAAUUAUGCACUAUAUACAACGUUGCGUAUAUUGUAUUGUGCUGUAUGUCGUAUAUUAUGCUCUAAACUAGUUAGUUCUUAUGAAAAAAUUAUAUUUCUGCAAUCAUUUAUUAUUUAUUACGUAUAACCGAGUGUAGCAGUGAUUUUAUUAUAUUUCUAGUAAAAUAAUAUUUGUAUUUUGCGAAUGCA